ACACUUGGACCCCUACGGUCUGAGGUUAUUCUUACACAACACCACUACACCAGCGCACAUUAGCACCGCGCGUCACUGACAGAGACCAGUAUAUGAUGUAUAUCAAACACAAAAGCGUAUGCAUAUAUAUAUAUAUAUAUUAACGUAGUCCUCAAUCACACAUUACCACUCUCAAAUCCCAACUCGACGUGAAAUAAAUCUGUUAAUUUUUUUCCUGAUUUUUGGCGCUCAAAAUUUCUUUUUCUCGAGAUUCUCAUCACGGUUCGCAAGGCUCUAAGUCCAGAACAAUGAGGCACGCCAAGGAAGAACCGUCAAGCAGCACUGAGAAGCAAGUUAUCGACUUAAUCUCAGCAGUGAAAGAAUUGCAUGGACUUAGCUCACAGGAACUUAGUAAGCUAAUCAGGGACUCUGAAAAUAAUACGCUCCAGCACUUAACUGAAAGUGGAUCAUCUAUACGGAUCGAUGUGGAAAAACUUGCUAGGUAUCUUCCUUUGCAUCUUAUUGCACAGCUUAUGUCAUCUAAAAGAGAUGAAGCCUUGUUCAGAUACUUGUUAUGCGGAAUUCAGCUCUUGCAUUCCUUGUGUGAUCUAGCACCUCGGCACCCCAAACUUGAGCAGGUUUUGCUCGAUGAUGUAAAAGUAUCAGAACAGCUUCUUGAUCUGGUCUUUUAUAUGCUUAUUGUUCUUGGCGGUUAUAGACAGGAACAUCACAUUUCAAGUCCUAUCCCCCUUCUGCAUUCAGCACUGGUGGCCUGCAGUCUAUAUCUAUUAACAGGAUGUAUUUCUUCACAGUGGCAAGACCUUGCUCAUGUUUUGAUUGCUCACCCUAAGGUUGAUAUAUUUAUGGAUGCUGCUUUUGCAGCAGUUCUUGUAGACAUCAAGUUUCUCCAGAUGAAGCUGUCAGUUCAAUCCACUGAUUUCUACAUCAAGUCAAAUACUACUGAAGAAACAUUGAACCAUCUCUUCCAACAGUGCGAGGCUUCUUUACAGUUUCUUCAGUCAUUGUGCCAACAAAAAUUGUUCAGGGAGCGCCUUGUUAAGAAUAAGGAACUAUGUGGUAAAGGUGGUGUUCUUCUGCUUGCUCAAGCCGUUUUGAGCUUAAAUAUUGGACCGUUGUUUAGGGACUCCUCCUCAGUUGUGGCUGCUGUAUCUAGGCUGAAAUCUAAAGUUCUACAAAUUCUGUUGCAUCUCUGUGAAGCAGAAAGCAUAUCUUACUUGGAUGAGGUUGCCAGCACUCCUCAAAGCUUGGAUUUGGCAAAGUCGGUUGCGUUAGAGGUUCUUGAACUGCUGAAGACUAUGUUCAGUAGAAAUCCCAAACAACUUGGUGCAUGCUCUGACAAAGCUUAUCCAAGGGGGCUUUUGCAACUCAAUUCAAUGCGUCUAGCGGACAUCUUCUCUGAUGAUUCAAAUUUUCGAUCAUAUAUCACAAUAUACUUUACAGAAGUUUUGACUGCAAUUUUUUCACUCCCACAUGGAGAAUUCUUGUCAAGUUGGUGUUCAUCUGAUCUUCCAAUAUCAGAAGAAGAUGCUACUCUGGAGUAUGAUCUGUUUGUUGCAGCUGGCUGUGUUUUGGAUUCAUAUUCAACAUCAGACUUGCUGAAUGCGACAAAUUCAGGAUCCACUUUUACUUACAGUAACAUGCCCAGGGCUUCAUAUGCACAUCAAAGAACAUCAUUGUUGGUCAAAGUAAUAGCAAAUCUUCAUUGUUUUGUACCAGACAUCUGUAAAGAAGAGAAAGACCUCUUUCUUAACAAGUUUCUCAAGUGCUUGCAGAAGGAGCUACCAAAAAGAUCAGAUGGGUUUUCCUUUGCUUCUGAGGCUGAAAAAGCUGUUGUGGUUAGCACGAACCUACGUUCCUUGUUAAGCCAUGCAGAAUCUUUAAUUCCUACCUUUCUGAACGAGGAGGAUGUACAGCUCUUGAGGGUUUUCUUUAGGCAAUUAGAAUCACUAAUGACUCCUGCUGAAUAUGAAGUUAAUCGAGUUCAAGAGGUUCAAAGUACAGGUGGAUGCUCAUCACCUCUGAUACGAAAAGUAGCUCCAGAUCUUACUAACAGAAUCAGUAACCUGAAAGAGGGCAUGUCAGAAAAUUCAGCUUUCCAAGAAGUGGACCAGUUCUAUAUCAGGAGCAACUCUAUAGAUCAAUCUGAUGAUAUAGGGAGGCAAGAUAAGAGGGACAAUGAAGGUGAUUUGGGAAGGGGUGCUGCUAGAGGGGUGAGAGAGAUUGACAGAGAUGUUCAGAAUGGUGAAACAAGUGCGUCGGAUUCAAGCACUACACGAGAAAAGAAUUUUAUUGAUCCAAUGGACAAUGUCGAGUUUGCAAAGUCAAGUGCGCACAUCAAAGAAAGUGGGUUCGGAGGAGUUCAAGAGGAGGAAAAGGUUGAAAAUAUUCAAUGUGAAGAGAAGCAGCAAAGAAAAAGGAAGCGGAGUUUAAUGACUGCUGAACAAAUUACCUUAAUCGAGAGGGCACUCGUGGACGAACCUGACAUGCAGCGUAAUGCAGCUCUGAUACAAUCAUGGUCUGAUAAAUUGAGUGUUAAUGGUCCUGAGAUUUCAACUUCCCAGCUAAAGAACUGGUUGAACAAUCGAAAAGCUAGGCUAGCCCGCGCGGCUAAGGAUGUCCGAACACCUUCUGAAGGGGACAAUGCUUUUCCUGACAAACAAGGGGGAUCAGGUAUUGCACUCUGUGAUUCACCCGCAAGUCCUGUUGAGGAUGUUUAUGUCCCAUCGACUGCAAGAGGGACUCAUCAGACUGGAAUGGCGGAAAGCACAUUGAGAACCGCUAUUAAUGAAAAAUCAGAAACUGUGCUUGCAGAAUUGAUUGAUAUUUCCCCUGCAGAAUUUGUUCGAUGUGAACCAGGUCAGUGUGCCGUGCUUGUAGAUGGGCAAGGGGAAGAGAUAGGUAAGGGAAAGGUGUAUCAGGUGCAAGGCAAAUGGUAUGGAAGGAACUUGGAAGAAUCGGAAGUGUGCGUUGUGGAUGUGCUUGAGCUCAAGGCUGAGAGGUGCAUGAGGCUUCCACACCCAUGUGAAGCUACGGGCACCACAUUUGAUGAGGCUGAAACAAAACUUGGAUUAAUGAGAGUGUUGUGGGAUUCAAACAAACUUUUCAUGCUGCAACCUCGGUGAAUACCUCUGGGUGUCUCUUGAUUGAAGAGCUAUGAUUAAAGUUAUAGCCUGAGGAGUGAGAUACACUGGUUGGACAGUUCCAAGUUAGUUCAAUGGUGGGCCGCUUGUGAAAUGCAUCCACCUAGGAGAGGCGGCCACAGUUUAUACGGUUGUAACUAAUGGCAGGAGGAGCCUUCUUGUAAGUUGCUGGAAAAAUCAUUCAGUUGCCUAACGAUAAACGACUCCGUCUGGUGGAAUUCAGUGAGCUUCGUAGGAAUGGUCGGUGGCAUUGAUUCUAUCACAUGGCACUAUGGCAGAAAGAAAAAGGGAAUUUUGCCCAAGGAGGCCUGUGUUGGCCCUCAGUCAAUGAAUCUCAGUAUUCUUUCUUCUGUGAAGCUUCCGAACUUGAAGGAAACCCAUAGUUCUGACUCCCUUUGCUUACUCCUAUUUCAACUUCAUUUCCAACGUGCCACAAAUGUAUGCUUGUAUAUGUGCCUAAUGAUGGUAUGUUUGUCUACACAAUUCUGUUUGUAGCCUAAAAAAAAAUGGUACACGGAGGGUGAAAGAAAAAAAAGACCAAAAUAAAGAAUUUGCUGAACUAAACCAAGAAGGAUAAAGAUGGUUUAUGCUUCUUUACAUCCUGUUCUAGUUAUUGUAUGUAGGUAAAUCUCCUUUGUAGUUUGUAUGGUUCCUCUUCCAAAAGUGUAGUGUCAUUUUUUAAUCAUCGUUGUCUUUCCUAUGGAAGAGCGAAAAUCCCAAUGGAAUUCUUCUUUAUUUAUUUAUUUAUUAUUUUUAAAUAUUGGAUUUGGUGGUAUAGUUUGAUAGAAUGUGGCUUCAACUUGCAAUGGCAUUUCAACGCAAGAUGUUCCUAACUGGAGAAGGUUAUCAACACGUGAAUUCAUUUGUGGUGAACAUGUUGUUGAUCUAUGAAGUAUCUAACAUUACAGAUGCAUCUUGCAAGUUGUUCCCUUGCAUUGCAAUUUGACUUCUCAACUAUUGAAAAUGUGGGGAGCUGCAUAUCCUCUCCAGUACACUACUUAAAAUUUUGAUGUAUUAUGUGGUAUAUGAUAUGGAUGUAAUAUGUGUGUUGCAUUCUCAAAAUUAAAUUGUGUUUUUUUAUUUUAUUUUACAUGUACAUUAGUAUUGCACUGGAAAAGGACCCUGAUUCUUGAUGCAGGGAGGCAAAUUGCAUACUUUUAAUGGUUAAAGAGAUUGUAAUAUAGGGCGCAAAAAAAAAAAAAUUAUGUGUAGU